CGUAGUCUCUGUACAUACAGAUACAGUAUUGUCAGUAGUCGGUAGUCAGUACUCAGUAUUUUAUUGUUCCCCAUCCCACACCUAAAACUCGCGUUCUGAUGUCGCGAUCACAAGACCUUAGACAUUUAAUAUCUACCAGGUGUUGGCUGGUGAAAGUAUGACGAGAGUUUUUUUAGAAGGUUGCAGCAGCGUGAGAAACAUUCCUCUUUGACACAGCAAAGUUGGACGUUAUAUUUAAAAUAUUUAAAAUCUUAUAUUGGAUUUACGACAAAUUUCAAAAUGAGUUCACCAAAGUCUAAAGAUACGACUGACGAUGCUGGGAUCACUGAUAUGGCAGCUAAAACCAAGAACUGGGUCCAAUUUGAGGAAGAACCAGCUCCUAAAUUAUCGGAAGACACUACAGUACCUGCUACUAUUAAACCUGAGACAGUAACAGUCAGCAUUGAUAAGAUUGUCAAGGAAUCUGAAGAAAAAGAUAUCGCUGUUCCCUCGGCUAGUAUUCCUACCGGCGUUCCUGGUAAUUCAAAUAAAAAAAACGAGUACAGCGGAGCUGUGAUAGCAACCGAAUCCGUCCAAAUAAAUUUAGAUAGAUCAGGACUGAGCAGGUCGAUGUCCAAUGAAAGUCCUGAAGCAAACGUACCGUCAGAUGUUAAGGUUUCAGACCCCAAGAGUGCGUCUCUGAAGACCAUCGACCUUCGAGACACUUCCAAUGGUCGGAGCGCUAAUGUAAAUAAUGUUAUCAACACACCGAUCGGGAACAUAAGACGAGGAUUUGCAAACGGUGACACUAUCGUGACAUUACUGCCGGUUAACACGCGGUGGCCUUGGAUUACGCCAGCGAAAUUUCGCCCUGAACUAGUACCGGAAGAACUUAUGGCUCAAGGUCUCACGUUAACAGUAGAAGAUUACGUCCACGUGAUGGAGUUGCUGGUCAACGAUGUGCGUUUUAAUAUGUACAAUAUUUGCUACAAACGUAUACUUGUGCUGUGGAUUUUCACAGCUUUUAUUAUUCUUCUUGGUCUAUUAUUUUCUGGUCUCGCUGGACUGACGUUAUUCGGCCUUGGGAUUAUGUGGUUGAUAUUAAAUGCAGCAGCAAUAUUUUUAUGUAUGUUUAUAAAGAUAAAACUAAACCAUAAUUUAGAAAAAUGUAUGGCUCAAGUAAACAAACAUUUAUUACGUCACAAGAUACUCGUUGGUUUGGAUGACAGAGGAAAAAUAUCAUGUCACAAAGUUAAUUUAUGCUUCAUCUACUUCGACACGACAGACUGCGUAAAAAAACUGCAAGAAGUCAUCGAGAGAGAGGAGCGUGAGGGCAGAGUAAUUGGAGGUGAGGAAACCAAUGAAAUGCAACGACGCAGACAAGAAUUGCAACAACGAAUGGACAUUGAUGAUACCGAUAUCGUCAUACAGGGCAGCACCACUACCAGGUUAUCACGCAAGCAGGAGCGGGCGGAGUUGCUGUUACUGAGGUACGCCUCGCGUUGGACACGUCAAUUAGUUCGGCACAGACUCGACCUGGUGGUAGACUCGCAGGAACGGAAUAGAGCUUAUGUGGGACCAGCAAUUCCUCCGCGUCACUGCGUCUCCGCCCGCUGUCCUUGUCAGUUUAUCGAGGAUCAUCUCAAAUACAAACCCCGAGCCGGACAAGUGGAGAAAAUAUCUGUUCGAUCACACAAUCACGCUUUAAAUACUUGAAUAAAUAAAACAAAAAUUAAUACAUAUAAUAAAUGUUAUUAAAUGCACAAAGGAGUGCGCUAUCCGCCAGGUUUUACAUGGUGUGCUUACCUUAGCGAUCCUGCUAUUAGGUUUGACCCAACAUACAGCCCAAGUCCGUAAAAUAGAGUUUAAUUAUUUUUUACUUUAAAUAAUCGAUGCCUCGCCUCUUAUUUUAAUUAUUAAAUUAAAUUAUUCAUUUUUUAAACAUUGUUAGCUGAUAUUUUGAAAUGUAGUGUCAUAUAUUAUUAAUUUUGUCGUACAUUUAAAUAAUUACUUUAACGUAUGCUUUGAUGUUAUUGUCAGAGUGUGAAUGAACAGCCUUGUAUGUUAUAAAAAAAAACAAGACAUAUCGUAUUAUAUUGUGUCGUACUACAUACAUAAUACAUUAUUAUAAUUAUAAUUAUUAUUAUUAAUUGUUAAAUGGUAUUAACAGUUACUUUGUAUCUGUCAAUUGUGAAAAAUAUUGUGCCUUACAUGUCUGAUCAACAGUCUGGUGAACAUUAAUUUGAUAAUUUAUUAUUAAUCCGUCCAUAUUGAAUCUGUUUAAUCAUUCCAAUCAAAUUAUGUGCAGUACAAAUUGUGUAAUUGUUAAUAAUAUAAAUAAAUAUGUAUAAAUAUUUAAA